GGUAUGGGCGGGCUGGCGGCAGUGGUAAUACGGAGGGUGCAAGCGUUAAUCGGGAGUACUGGGCGUAAAGCGCACGCAGGCGGGUGGAUAAGUCAGAUGGGAAAGCCCCGGGCUCAACCGGGGAACUGCAUUUGGAACUGUCCGGCUAGAGUCGUGUAGAGGGGGGUAGAAGUCCAGGUGGAGCGGUGAAAUGCGUAGAGAUCUGGAGGAAGACCGGGGGCGAAGGCGGCCCCCUGGACAAAGACUGACGCUCAGGUGCGAAAGCGUGGGGAGCAAACAGGAUUAGAUACCCGUGUAGUC
rnacentral:rRNA from 1 species